AAUCAGAGCAUAUAAUUUUUGGCUCUUAUUCAAAUUUUUUUGCGAUUGAUAUUUUUGUUUUUAUUAGAUGAUAAAUCAUAAACAAUACUUUACGUGUGACUAAUUUUUUUCUUAUUUUCUAAAAAAAUUUCAAAUAAGACGGAUAGUCAAGCGUUAAACACGGAAACC
rnacentral:pre_miRNA from 1 species